rnacentral:rRNA from 1 species
UACAGAGGUGGCAAGCGUUGUUCGGAAUUACUGGGCGUAAAGGGCGCGUAGGCGGCCUUCUAAGUCAGACGUGAAAUCCCCCGGCUUAACCUGGGAACUGCGUCUGAUACUGGGAGGCUAGAGUGCGGGAGAGGGAUGCGGAAUUCCAGGUGUAGCGGUGAAAUGCGUAGAUAUCUGGAGGAACACCGGUGGCGAAGGCGGCGUUCUGGACUGCAACUGACACUGAGGAACGAAAGCCAGGGGAGCAAACGGG